AUCGCUUCUCGGCCUAUCGGCUAAGGAUCAAGUAGAUAUAAUCUGUUCUUUCGAGUUUAAAUAGCUCGAAUGGGGAUAAUGCAUCCUCAAGCUAUUAACCCCAAUUUUUCUACUAGGAGUUGUGUGUGAAGCUUGCUUCCCUCACUCCACGGGUUGCCCUGUAUUGCAGUACAUCCAGGUGUUGCCCACUUCCC